UGAUAUACAUAGCAUUAGAGCUCCUUUAUUUUCAAUUUAAAUUAACAGGAAAAAAAAAUGAAUGAAACCAUAUAUCACUUGGUUCAUAUCAAUAUAUACAAAAUGAAUAAAAAAUAAUCAUAGGAUGAAGUGUACAUACACACACAUUUCAAUGAUUCACAGUAUUUCUUUCAUGAUAAACUUUUGUUCCAUUGUUCUUGUCUGUGUAAUACUGAUGUCAUCAAUAAACCCACAGACUAUAAUUUUCAGGUUCUGGAUUCUAAUCUGUUAUGAAAGAGAAAAAAAAUGGAGGGGGGGGGGGGAUUUUUUU